rnacentral:rRNA from 1 species
AUUGAACGCUGGCGGCAUGCUUUACACAUGCAAGUCGGACGGCAGCGGGGUAGUGCUUGCACUACUGCCGGCGAGUGGCGAACGGGUGAGUAACAUAUCGGAACGUACCGAGCAGUGGGGGAUAACUAAUCGAAAGAUUAGCUAAUACCGCAUAUCUUCUGAGGAAGAAAGCAGGGGACCUUUGGGCCUUGCGCUGUUUGAGCGGCCGAUAUCUGAUUAGCUGGUUGGUGGGGUAAAGGCCUACCAAGGCGACGAUCAGUAGCGGGUCUGAGAGGAUGAUCCGCCACACUGGGACUGAGACACGGCCCAGACUCCUACGGGAGGCAGCAGUGGGGAAUUUUGGACAAUGGGGGGCAAACCCUGAUCCAGCCAUGCCGCGUGUCUGAAAGAAGGCCCUUCGGGGUGUAAAAGGACUUUUUUCCCGGAAG